rnacentral:rRNA from 1 species
CCUACGGGCGGCAGCAGUGAGGAAUAUUGGUCAAUGGACGAGAGUCUGAACCAGCCAAGUAGCGUGAAGGAUGACUGUCCUAUGGGUUGUAAACUUCUUUUAUAUGGGAAUAAAAUGUGCCACGUGUGGGAUUUUGUAUGUACCAGAUGAAUAAGGAUCGGCUAACUCCGUGCCAGCAGCCGCGGUAAUACGGAGGAUCCGAGCGUUAUCCGGAUUUAUUGGGUUUAAAGGGUGCGUAGGUGGAUUGUUAAGUCAGUUGUGAAAGUUUGCGGCUCAACCGUAAAAUGGCAGUUGAAACUGGCAGUCUUGAGUACAGUAGAGGUAGGCGGAAUUCGUGGUGUAGCGGUGAAAUGCUUAGAUAUCACGAAGAACCCCGAUUGCGAAGGCAGUUCACUGGACUGACACUGACACUGAGGCACGAAAGUGUGGGUAUCAAACAGGAUUAGAUACCCGGGUAGUC